UAUUAAUCCGUGCCCUAUUUCAGCAGAACAUUAAUUACAUUUUUUAUAAUUAGCCUGUAUACAGCAUAAAGGAGAAAAUGUUAAUGGGUGACUAGGAAAUAUGACAAAAAGAGAUCUCCUUUGAAGACAGAAAAAAAAGUACUGAAGCAAGACAAAACUCCUGUUAUGAAGAUGUGGGCUUAUGCAAAUCGUUCACCAUUCAAUACCAGGAGCUUCAUUAUAAAUUUAAACAAGCUAAUAUAAAAAUGAAUUCAUUUAUAUAAAGACUACAUCUUAGACUUUCAUUAAAUGUGUUUUCUAAGUGU